rnacentral:tRNA from 1 species
UCCCUGGUGGUCCAGUGGUUAAGACUCUGCACUCCCAACGCAAGGGACAUGGGUUCAAUCCCUGGUCAGGGAA